GAUAGCUGGAGAAUAACCAAGUGCUGUGCAGGGCUACAGAGGAAGGGGAAGAGAUAAUCCCUGUCCAUGAAAAAUAACAAGCUUCAUGGGGCACACAGCCCAGGCUCAAAUGAAUGGCAUAUGUAUGUAAACUGCUUAUGUCUAAAACCAGGCCAUUGGUGAUGAUCGGAGUAGCAUGGGUCAUGCUGCUGUACCGCUCCAUCGACUCCCACACGGAAGACAAGGGCCCCAUCUACAACUACCGUGUGGAGAUCUCCAUCUUCUUCAUCAUCUACAUCAUCAUCAUCGCCUUCUUCAUGAUGAACAUCUUCGUGGGCUUCGUCAUCGUCACCUUUCAGGAGCAGGGGGAGCAGGAGUACAAGAACUGUGAGCUGGACAAGAACCAGCGACAGUGCGUGGAAUACGCCCUCAAGGCCCGGCCCCUGCGGAGGUACAUCCCCAAGAACCAGCACCAGUACAAAGUGUGGUACGUGGUCAACUCCACCUACUUCGAGUACCUGAUGUUCGUCCUCAUCCUGCUCAACACCAUCUGCCUGGCCAUGCAG
rnacentral:misc_RNA from 1 species